GUCUAAGAACUCACCGUCAUACCCGUAGGGUUGACGGGAGCUUGAAAAAGCUCUAACUUGACCAGGCUAAGUGCUUAGCGCACUCCGUUAUUCAGUUCAUGAAACCUACAAAUACGUGCCAGUUUGUAGCUCUUUC
rnacentral:sRNA from 18 species